AAUCAGCUUUGAUCGUAGCAAUCAACUGACCCUUCGCAAAACAACCGUCCCUCCUUAAAUACUGUUGCUAUGUCUGACACGCCAUGCUGCUCACACAGUACACACCUUGUUCUCACACAGCAAAAAAUACAUCGUGGACCAAAGAGGAAACUGACAACACACUGACAGAGGAAUACAGAGAAGGUCACUUCUGUCUUCUCCCACAGAUCCAUCAGAGUCCUCAUCUUCUGUGUCUGAAUUGAACAGCUGGGCAACAGCUUUUGAACAGCUUUCUUCAUCAAACAUGCAGGGUUCCCUCUCAUCGUGGUUGAUCGCUGCCAGCGUACGUAGUGUACGUAUUACGUCCCUGUGUCAGCGGGAAAUGGUCCAACAGUCAGCCUUGCGUGUGGAGACUUCAGAAGAUGCCAGACCUCACAAAGAUUUCAGAUGAUGGAAACUAUAGAUGAACAUGCAAAGCUGCUAAAUAAUCCUUAUAUUGUAAUCAUUGCCCUAAAAGGGAGGAACUCUCAGCAAAUCUACUUCACAGCACAUCAGUGAAAGCAGUUAACAGUUACAGACGUGUGUGUUGGAUCAGGGUCAGAUCUGAAUUCUGCAGGUAGGUAGAUCUC